rnacentral:rRNA from 1 species
GAUGAACGCUGGCGGCGUGCUUAACACAUGCAAGUCGAACGAUUAAACUGGCUUCGGCCAGAUAUAGAGUGGCGAACGGGUGAGUAACACGUGACCAACCUGCCCCGCGCUCCGGGACAACCGCUGGAAACGGCGGCUAAUACCGGAUGCUCCGGGGAGGCCCCAUGGCCUCCCCGGGAAAGCCUUAACGGCGCGGGAUGGGGUCGCGGCCCAUUAGGUAGACGGCGGGGUAACGGCCCACCGUGCCCGCGAUGGGUAGCCGGACUGAGAGGUCGACCGGCCACAUUGGGACUGAGAUACGGCCCAGACUCCUACGGGAGGCAGCAGUGGGGAAUUUUGCGCAAUGGGGGCAACCCUGACGCAGCAACGCCGCGUGCGGGACGAAGGCCUUCGGGUUGUAAACCGCUU